CCUACGGGAGGCUGCAGUGGGGAAUAUUGGACAAUGGGCGAAAGCCUGAUCCAGCCAUGCCGCGUGUGUGAAGAAGGCCUUCGGGUUGUAAAGCACUUUCAGUGGGGAAGAAAGCCUUGGGGCUAAUACCCUCGAGGAAGGACAUCACCCACAGAAGAAGCACCGGCUAACUCCGUGCCAGCAGCCGCGGUAAUACGGAGGGUGCGAGCGUUAAUCGGAAUUACUGGGCGUAAGCGCGCGUAGGCGGUCUGAUAAGCCGGUUGUGAAAGCCCCGGGCUCAACCUGGGAACGGCAUCCGGAACUGUCAGGCUAGAGUGCAGGAGAGGAAGGUAGAAUUCCCGGUGUAGCGGUGAAAUGCGUAGAGAUCGGGAGGAAUACCAGUGGCGAAGGCGGCCUUCUGGACUGACACUGACGCUGAGGUGCGAAAGCGUGGGUAGCAAACAGGAUUAGAUACCCGUGUAGUC
rnacentral:rRNA from 1 species